rnacentral:rRNA from 1 species
GACGAAGGGGCUAGCGUUGUUCGGAAUUACUGGGCGUAAAGCGCGUGUAGGCGGUUGUUCAAGUCAGGUGUGAAAGCCUUGAGCUCAACUCAAGAAAUGCACUUGAUACUGGAUGACUUGAGGACCGGAGAGGAUAGUGGAAUUCCCAGUGUAGUGGUGAAAUACGUAGAGAUUGGGAAGAACACCAGUGGCGAAGGCGGCUAUCUGGACGGUUUCUGACGCUAAGACGCGAAAGCGUGGGGAGCAACAGG